rnacentral:rRNA from 1 species
GCCUUUGGGUUGUAAAGCUCUUUUGUAGGGGAAGAUAAUGAUGUACCCUAAGAUAAGGUCCGGCUAACUUCGUGCCAGCAGCCGCGGUAACACGAAGGGACCUAGCGUAUUCGGAAUUACUGGGCGUAAAGCGCGCGUAGCUGUGAGUUAGUUAAUUGUGAAAUCCCAAAGCUUAACUUUGGAACUGCAAUUAAACUGCUCGACUAAAAGNNAAGUUUGAUAGAGGAAAGCGGAAUACAUAGNUGGUCNAGAGGGUGAAAUUCGUAGNAANUAUUAUGUAGAAAACAACCAGCUUUGCCGGAAAAAGGGCGGCUUUCUUGGGGGGUCAACACUGACCCGGGCCUGAGGCGCGAAAAAGGGUUUAUGGGUAAAGCAAAGGAGGGAUUUAAGAAUACCGCUUCGUAGUUCCAUA